GAAUUGAACCCCUGCCUAGUGUUGGGAGCUGGCACCUUUUCCCUGGCUCACCUGCCAGGGUCUGUGAGACCCCCACACCUCCCUGAUUGCACCUAAACCCAAGAAUCACUGUUUCUUAUAGCGGUGGUUUAAACAGAGGUGCAAACAGCAAGCGGAUCUUGUCGCCUUUGGGGGGCUGUGGCCGUGCCCCUCAAAGUGAAUUUGGAGGUUCCACAACUCUAGUGGCCAGUGACUGCAGGGA
rnacentral:lncRNA from 1 species